rnacentral:misc_RNA from 1 species
ACUCGUUCUUCCGCCACUCGCCAUCUUGUCUUCGAUGUGCGUGGACGUGUGCUGUUUGAUCCGAAACUGAUUUCUGUGAUCGAAGUGUUGUUUUCACCCUUUUCGAGUGUCUCGAGAAGCUUGAAAAAAUGAGUUACGGCAGACCACCGCCUCGAAUCGACGGGAUGGUGUCUCUUAAGGUCGAUAAUCUCACGUACAGAACGACGCCGGAAGACCUCAGACGCGUGUUCGAAAGAUGUGGCGAAGUUGGUGAUAUUUAUAUACCCAGAGAUCGCUUUACUCGAGAAAGUCGUGGAUUUGCAUUCGUUAGAUUUUACGAUAAACGAGAUGCAGAAGACGCGUUAGACGCGAUGGAUGGAAGAUUGUUAGACGGUAGGGAACUCAGAGUUCAAAUGGCACGUUAUGGACGGCCAACGUCUCCACAUCGUAGCCGUGGUAGUCGUCGUCGUGGAAGAUCACGCAGCCGAAGCAGGGAUCGGAGACGUUCCCGCUCUAGAUCGCGUAGUAGAUCAAGAAGCCGAGACAGAGAUCGUAGGCGAUCAUACAGCCGUAGUCGCAGCCGCUCGCGUUCCGAUAGUAAGAGUUCUCGUGGAAAAUCUCGUUCCCGCAGCAAGUCUCCUGAUAGACAAAAGGACAGUCGUUCCAAGUCGAGGGACUGAAGUAAUUGAACCAUAUGCGAGUACAACUGUGAACAGAUGCACGCGCCGCGAGUGCAGAAUAAUCGUUUCUUGAGAACAAAAAGGCGGUGGAAAGGAGUGGCGUGGCGAGUGUAG